UACAGAGGGUGCAAGCGUUGUUCGGAAUUAUUGGGCGUAAAGAGCUCGUAGGCGGUCUGUCGCGUCGGAUGUGAAAACUCGGGGCUCAACCCCGAGCCUGCAUUCGAUACGGGCAGACUAGAGUUCGGUAGGGGAGACUGGAAUUCCUGGUGUAGCGGUGAAAUGCGCAGAUAUCAGGAGGAACACCGGUGGCGAAGGCGGGUCUCUGGGCCGAUACUGACGCUGAGGAGCGAAAGCGUGGGGAGCGAACAGG
rnacentral:rRNA from 1 species